AACGCACAUUGCGCCCGCCAGUAUUCUGGCGGGCAUGCCUGUUCGAGCGUCAUUACAACCCUCAGGCCCCCGGGCCUGGCGUUGGGGAUCGGCGGAGCCCCCCGUGGGCACACGCCGUCCUCCAAAUACAGUGGCGGUCCCGCCGCAGCUUCCAUUGCGUAGUAGCUAACACCUCGCAACUGGAGAGCGGCGCGGCCACGCCGUAAAACACCCAACUUCUGAAUGUUGACCUCGAAUCAGGUAGGAAUACCCGCUGAACUUAA
rnacentral:misc_RNA from 1 species